AGAAUCAACGCUGGCGGCGUGCCUAACACACGCAAGUCGAACGCGAAAGUCCCGCAAGGGGCAAGUAGAGUGGCAAACGGGUGAGUAACACGUGGGUGACCUGCCUUCGAGUGGGGGAUAACGUCCCGAAAGGGACGCUAAUACCGCAUGACAUCCUGUCUUUGGAAAGACGGAGAUCAAAGCCGGGGAUCGCAAGACCUGGCGCUUGAAGAGGGGCCCGCGCCUGAUUAGCUAGUUGGUGGGGUAACGGCCUACCAAGGCGACGAUCAGUA
rnacentral:rRNA from 1 species